AUUUUGUGGUCUUUUAGGGUUUCUGCAUGGAGGCGAGGACUUUGAGGAUACUAUUUCAGAACUUUGAUAUGUGUGGCUUUACUUUGCUUCUCACUUGUUGAGUAUAUUAUUCAUACAGUUUGUGUCUCUCUGCUUUUCUCUGAUGCUUAGUGCUUCAUGUAACAAUUGCUCUUCUCUCCACCUUCCAGGCACCCAAAGAACAUUAAUGUUGUAGA
rnacentral:lncRNA from 1 species